rnacentral:rRNA from 1 species
UACGUAGGGUGCAAGCGUUGUCCGGAAUUAUUGGGCGUAAAGAGCUCGUAGGCGGUUUGUCGCGUCUGCUGUGAAAACCCGAGGCUCAACCUCGGGCCUGCAGUGGGUACGGGCAGACUAGAGUGCGGUAGGGGAGAAUGGAAUUCCUGGUGUAGCGGUGGAAUGCGCAGAUAUCAGGAGGAACACCGAUGGCGAAGGCAGUUCUCUGGGCAUGUCCUGACGCUGAGGAGCGAAAGUGUGGGGAGCGAACAGG